rnacentral:piRNA from 1 species
UACAAGUACUGGCAACUUGUUGGGGAGUA